rnacentral:rRNA from 1 species
GGGUUGUGAGGUUAAGCGACUAAGCGUACACGGUGGAUGCCCUGGCAGUCAGAGGCGAUGAAGGACGUGCUAAUCUGCGAUAAGCGUCGGUGAGGUGAUAUGAACCGUUAUAACCGGCGAUUUCCGAAUGGGGAAACCCAGUGUGUUUCGACACACUAUCAUUAACUGAAUCCAUAGGUUAAUGAGGCGAACCGGGGGAACUGAAACAUCUAAGUACCCCGAGGAAAAGAAAUCAACCGAGAUUCCCCCAGUAGCGGCGAGCGAACGGGGAGGAGCCCAGAGCCUGAAUCAGUGUGUGUGUUAGUGGAAGCGUCUGGAAAGGCGCGCGAUACAGGGUGACAGCCCCGUACACAAAAAUGCACAUACUGUGAGCUCGAUGAGUAGGGCGGGACACGUGGUAUCCUGUCUGAAUAUGGGGGGACCAUCCUCCAAGGCUAAAUACUCCUGACUGACCGAUAGUGAACCAGUACCGUGAGGGAAAGGCGAAAAGAACCCCGGCGAGGGGAGUGAAAAAGAACCUGAAACCGUGUACGUACAAGCAGUGGGAGCCUCUUAAUGGGGUGACUGCGUACCUUUUGUAUAAUGGGUCAGCGACUUAUAUUCUGUAGCAAGGUUAACCGAAUAGGGGAGCCGAAGGGAAACCGAGUCUUAACUGGGCGUUAAGUUGCAGGGUAUAGACCCGAAACCCGGUGAUCUAGCCAUGGGCAGGUUGAAGGUUGGGUAACACUAACUGGAGGACCGAACCGACUAAUGUUGAAAAAUUAGCGGAUGACUUGUGGCUGGGGGUGAAAGGCCAAUCAAACCGGGAGAUAGCUGGUUCUCCCCGAAAGCUAUUUAGGUAGCGCCUCGUGAAUUCAUCUCCGGGGGUAGAGCACUGUUUCGGCAAGGGGGUCAUCCCGACUUACCAACCCGAUGCAAACUGCGAAUACCGGAGAAUGUUAUCACGGGAGACACACGGCGGGUGCUAACGUCCGUCGUGAAGAGGGAAACAACCCAGACCGCCAGCUAAGGUCCCAAAGUCAUGGUUAAGUGGGAAACGAUGUGGGAAGGCCCAGACAGCCAGGAUGUUGGCUUAGAAGCAGCCAUCAUUUAAAGAAAGCGUAAUAGCUCACUGGUCGAGUCGGCCUGCGCGGAAGAUGUAACGGGGCUAAACCAUG